rnacentral:rRNA from 1 species
UGGGGAAUUUUGGACAAUGGGCGAAAGCCUGAUCCAGCAAUGCCGCGUGUGUGAAGAAGGCCUUCGGGUUGUAAAGCACUUUUGUCCGGAAAGAAAUCCUCUGGGUUAAUACCUCGGGGGGAUGACGGUACCGGAAGAAUAAGCACCGGCUAACUACGUGCCAGCAGCCGCGGUAAUACGUAGGGUGCAAGCGUUAAUCGGAAUUACUGGGCGUAAAGCGUGCGCAGGCGGUUUUGUAAGACGGAUGUGAAAUCCCCGGGCUUAACCUGGGAACUGCAUUCGUGACUGCAAGGCUAGAGUAUGGCAGAGGGGGGUAGAAUUCCACGUGUAGCAGUGAAAUGCGUAGAGAUGUGGAGGAAUACCGAUGGCGAAGGCAGCCCCCUGGGCCAAUACUGACGCUCAUGCACGAAAGCGUGGGGAGCAAACAGGAUUAGAUACCCUGGUAGUCCACGCCCUAAAACGAUGUCAACUAGUUGUUGGGGAUUCAUUUCCUUAGUAACGUAGCUAACGCGUGAAGUUGACCGCCUGGGGAGUACGGUCGCAAGAUUAAAACUCAAAUGAAUUGAC